CUGCUCUGGACCCCACGUGCUUGGUGGAGCUCACUGAAAGAGCCAGGGGAUCCCUGAAGGCCAAAUGCAGAUUUCUGGGAGAUGAUAUGAUCCAGACUCUAAUGAUAUCACAAGCAACGCCCAUGAGCUGUGGGGGACAUACUCACUCCAAGGCUUCUGUCUGUUUCUCCACGCUGGCAUGAGAGCCUACUGCGAUCUGGAGUCCUGCAGAGCUUCUGAGUGCACCUCAGUGGAAAUGAGCAACUGGACCAAGGCCCAUGACCAGAGCAACCUAAGCCAAAUCUGGCCCUGCACAAUCUCCUCCCACAUUCAGUGCAGAGAGCAGCCACCGCCACUCCAUCAAACCAGAGCUGCAGCCGGAAAACAAAACCCAGAGCAUUCUUCUGUGCAGCUCAGGCAGCUGGGAAGGCUUUUAUGCCUGCUUAUUCCAGACAGUCCUCAGUUUCCCACGGCCAGCGUUGACGUUCACCCCUGUGAGCCCCCCUACCCAGGGAAUCUGGGCUGCGGGAAGGACAGAGAUGGAGUUGUUGGCAAUUAUUUCACAAAUGACAUUUCAAAACUAUUCUUCCCCUGAUGGACUUUUUGCUAGAUCCCUGUUGCUUCUUGCUACACUAGGCUGUCACUCAGAGUUCAAGUUGGGCUCAUGCCCUGGACCUCACCUGGCCCACCACCCUACUGGGAGGAAGUGAUCACCGAGCAAGUCUCAAGCCAGUGGAGAUGGAUGGAUGGAUAACGUAGGGUGCUCACGAGCAAAUAUUUAUGGGCAACACAGGUUUCUGCAACAUCCCCAAGAGAACUGGUUGCAGAAAAAGUGGGAGAGAUGGGAAUAAAGAGACCACAAAAG